rnacentral:rRNA from 1 species
UGGGGAAUUUUGGACAAUGGACGCAAGUCUGAUCCAGCCAUGCCGCGUGCGGGAAGAAGGCCUUCGGGUUGUAAACCGCUUUUGUCAGGGAAGAAACGAGUUUCUCUAAUACAGAGACUUAAUGACGGUACCUGAAGAAUAAGCACCGGCUAACUACGUGCCAGCAACCGCGGUAAUACGUAGGGUGCGAGCGUUAAUCGGAAUUACUGGGCGUAAAGCGUGCGCAGGCGGUUAUAUAAGACAGAUGUGAAAUCCCCGGGCUCAACCUGGGACCUGCAUUUGUGACUGCAUAGCUAGAGUACGGUAGAGGGGGAUGGAAUUCCGCGUGUAGCAGUGAAAUGCGUAGAUAUGCGGAGGAACACCGAUGGCGAAGGCAAUCCCCUGGACCUGUACUGACGCUCAUGCACGAAAGCGUGGGGAGCAAACA